AUUUCUUCGGAAUGAAUUCUUUAAAACCCAGUGGCGGACGGGUGAGUAACACGUGGGUAACCUGCCCUUCCGUAGGGGAUAACAUUUGGAAACAGAUGCUAAUACCGUAUAAACCUCAGAAACACAUGUUUCUGAGUUGAAAGGCGGCUUUCGAGCUGUCGCUUUUGGAUGGACCCGCGGCGUAUUAGCUAGUUGGUGAGGUAAAGGCUCACCAAGGCAGUGAUACGUAGCCGACCUGAGAGGGUGAUCGGCCACAUUGGGACUGAGACACGGCCCAAACUCCCACGGGAGGCAGCAGUAGGGAAUCUUCCACAAUGGACGAAAGUCUGAUGGAGCAACGCCGCGUGAGUGAAGAAGGUUUUCGGAUCGUAAAACUCUGUUGUUGGAGAAGAACACGUUUGAGAGUAACUGUUCAGACGUUGACGGUAUCCAACCAGAAAGCCACGGCUAACUACGUGCCAGCAGCCGCGGUAAUACGUAGGUGGCAAGCGUUAUCCGGAUUUAUUGGGCGUAAAGCGAGCGCAGGCGGUUUCUUAAGUCUGAUGUGAAAGCCUUCGGCUUAACCGAAGAAGUGCAUCGGAAACUGGGAAACUUGAGUGCAGAAGAGGACAGUGGAACUCCAUGUGUAGCGGUGAAAUGCGUAGAUAUAUGGAAGAACACCGGUGGCGAAGGCGGCUGUCUGGUCUGUAACUGACGCUGAGGCUCGAAAGCAUGGGUAGCGAACAGGAUUAGAUACCCUGGUAGUCCAUGCCGUAAACGAUGAAUGCUAGGUGUUGGAGGGUUUCCGCCCUUCAGUGCCGCAGCUAACGCAUUAAGCAUUCCGCCU
rnacentral:rRNA from 1 species